rnacentral:SRP_RNA from 1 species
GCCAAGUGUGGUGGAAUACUCGGGCAAUCCCUAGCACUUGCGGAGGCUGAGGCUGGCAGAGCUCUUGAGAUUGGGAGUGCAAAGCUGCAGAGAGUUUUGCCUAUCAGUUGCCCACACUAAGUUCUGCAUUAAUAUGGUGAGCCCUCAGGAAGGGUGCUGGUUGCCUAAGGAAGGACAAACUGACCUAGAUUAGAAAAGGAGCAGGUGAAAGCUCUCAUGCUGAUUAGAGUGGGAUUGUACCUGUGAGUAGUCCUUGCACUUCUAGCCAAUGCCAGAUAGGUAGAACCU